GACGAACGCUGGCGGCGUGCUUAACACAUGCAAGUCGAACGGAAAGGCCCUGCUUUUGUGGGGUGCUCGAGUGGCGAACGGGUGAGUAACACGUGAGUAACCUGCCCUUGACUUUGGGAUAACUUCAGGAAACUGGGGCUAAUACCGGAUAGGAGCUCCUGCUGCAUGGUGGGGGUUGGAAAGUUUCGGCGGUGGGGGAUGGACUCGCGGUUUAUCAGCUUGUUGGUGGGGUAGUGGCUUACCAAGGCUUUGACGGGUAGCCGGCCUGAGAGGGUGACCGGCCACAUUGGGACUGAGAUACGGCCCAGACUCCUACGGGAGGCAGCAGUGGGGAAUAUUGCACAAUGGGCGGAAGCCUGAUGCAGCAACGCCGCGUGCGGGAUGACGGCCUUCGGGUUGUAAACCGCUUUCGCCUGUGACGAAGCGUGAGUGACGGUAAUGGGUAAAGAAGCACCGGCUAACUACGUG
rnacentral:rRNA from 1 species